rnacentral:rRNA from 1 species
UACGAAGGGGGCUAGCGUUGCUCGGAAUCACUGGGCGUAAAGGGUGCGUAGGCGGGUCUUUAAGUCAGGGGUGAAAUCCUGGAGCUCAACUCCAGAACUGCCUUUGAUACUGAAGAUCUUGAGUUCGGGAGAGGUGAGUGGAAUUUCGUGUGUAGGGGUGAAAUCCGUAAAUAUACGAAGGAACGCCAAAAGCGAAGGCAGCUCUCUGGGUCCCUACCGACGCUGGGGUGCGAAAGCAUGGGGAGCGAACAGG